rnacentral:rRNA from 1 species
CGCAUCUGUGCAUGCAGCAUAUCAAUAAGCGGAGGAAAAGAAACUAACAAGGAUUCCCUUAGUAACGGCGAGUGAAGCGGGAAGAGCUCAAAUUUGAAAUCUUCAAGGUUUUACCUUGACGAAUUGUAGUUUAAAGAAGUGUUUUCUGUUGAAGUUUUGGUAAAAGUUCUUUGGAAUAGGACAUCAUAGAGGGUGAGAAUCCCGUAUUUGACCAUUAUUUUCAGCUGUGUGAUACACUUUCAAAGAGUCGGAUUGUUUGGGAAUGCAGUCCAAAAUGGGUGGUAAAUUUCAUCUAAAGCUAAAUAUUGGCGAGAGACCGAUAGCGAACAAGUACCGUGAGGGAAAGAUGAAAAGAACUUUGAAAAGAGAGGUUAAACAGUACGUGAAAUUGUCAAAAGGGAAGCGUUUGACACCAGUGUUGUUUUCUCGAAAAUCAAUUAAAAAGAGUUUGAUUUUGUUGUGUAUUGACCUUAACAGCUUGCAUUUCAAUUUCCUUGCUUUUUUAAUGCACUUUUCGUUUAACAAGUCAAUAUCAGUUUCUUUUGUUGUAAAAAGGUCAUUGGAAGGUGGCUUUCUUUUCGGAGAAAGUGUUUAUAGCCUUUGACUCCUGCAAUCGGAGAGACUGAGGUCUGCAGCGUAGAUCCUUCGGGGUUAGAUACAUUUGUGCUAAGUUAUAGCUUUUUAUAGACAACUUGUUGACUAUGAUUAGUCCUUGUAGCUUACUCGCUUAUGCUAUUAUACCUACGCUUAGGAUGUUGAACUCUAUCACACACAG